rnacentral:lncRNA from 1 species
CCUAACCUCUACCGAACAAUUAUGCCACCCCGGGAAAUAAUUGAUUGGUCGUCCUUCACAGCAAUUACAGAAAACAUAGAGAUCAUACCUGAUUAAAAUUGUGUCCCUGGAAAAAAUUAAAUCUUUUGCAUAUUAUGUUUGGAACCUGUAAAAAAACUGAAUCCAUUCAAAUUCUUAUAAUACACAUAAAAUCAGGCCCAAAAUCACAUGUGAUAAGAAAAUGCACAUAAAGGAUAAGAAGUAAAAAAGCAGUCCUAGUAUAGGUCAGAAAAACAAACUGGAUUAAAAAAUAUAUUUUUUACUCGUACCAUGGGCAUCGGUAGCCCCGUUGAUGGUCAACUUUAUGGGCUGGAUUGAAUAAUUUUGGAUUCAGAGGUCCUUACCAUCAAGGGACGCAUCGAUCUUAUCAAUAGAAUUGGAUAUUUUACGCUACGUGUCAGAGAUGAGGAACAGGGGAGUUCAAGGGAUACUGGUCGUAAAAAAAAUGAAAAACUGAGACAAAAGAGAGAGCUCUUAUGUGCUAUAAAAAUAUGAAACUUGUUUACUUGAGCGAAUCUCCAUGUUAAAUAUCAUAUAUAGAGAGGUGCGUGCUAAAAAGUUAUUAUAAUUAAAUACAGUAAGAACAAUAUCAUAUUACCUCAGAUUAAAAUCAGACCAUUUGCUUAAUGCUGAGCUUGUCGCCUCGUCCUUGGCCGCCAUGGUGCCGCGGCCAAGAAAAGCUUUCCAUAUGUACCCUGGUUCUGUAGUCUAGACGCAUAGUGAAAGGUCCAAUUAUAUAAUUAGCUGAUGAUGUUCAUCAUAUACAUGCAAAUCUCGCUUGCCUAAUUGCCGCUGGAUAUAACUCGCUGCGAUCUCUUCGUCACCUGCAACACACGAAGAGAGGGAGAGGCUGAUGCCUGAUUGCACCGGGAGGAAGAGAUCAAGGCCUACCCGCCAUGAUCUGAUGCAGAUAGAUUUCAUCGGGAGAUGUGAUUUGCAGCUCAAUCUAACACGCCGCCGAUGAAAGGAAAGACAUGUUACUUUGAACAUGCCUAUGACCUGCCCUUCAAGAUUUGCACCAGGUCAUCAUGGGAGGGGCGAUGGAGGCCUAACCCAAGAACUCUACAUCAGGGAUUAUCUGGAGACGAUCUCUUGAGAUGUCGAUCCUGUUGGUAGGGUAAGGAAAAUAGAUGACAGACCCUGUUUUAG